GGCUGGAUGGUGUAGUUGGUUAUCACGUAUCGCUCACAUGGCUAGCUUCGACAGGCGAAAGCUUAGUCAGCUACUACAUGUUCCGAUAAGGUCCUGGGAUCGAACCCCAGUCUAGUCA